rnacentral:tRNA from 1 species
GUUUUUAUAGUUGAAGAACAACAGUGGUUUUUCAGAUCGCCGGUCUUGGUUAAAAUCCGAGUGGAAACU